rnacentral:rRNA from 1 species
CACGUAGGGGGCGAGCGUUGUCCGGAUUUAUUGGGCGUAAAGAGCUCGUAGGCGGUUCAGCAAGUCGGGUGUGAAAACUCUGGGCUCAACUCAGAGACGCCACCCGAAACUGCUGUGACUGGAGUCCGGUAGGGGAGUAUGGAAUUCCCGGUGUAGCGGUGAAAUGCGCAGAUAUCGGGAGGAACACCAGUAGCGAAGGCGGUACUCUGGGCCGGAACUGACGCUGAGGAGCGAAAGCGUGGGGAGCGAACAGGAUUAGAAACCCCCGUAGUCC